rnacentral:rRNA from 1 species
UACGUAGGGUGCGAGCGUUGUCCGGAAUUAUUGGGCGUAAAGAGCUCGUAGGCGGUCUGUCGCGUCGGUCGGUGAAAACUUGGGGCUUAACCCUGAGCUUGCGGUCGAUACGGGCAGACUUGAGGCAUUCAGGGGAGAACGGAAUUCCUGGUGUAGCGGUGAAAUGCGCAGAUAUCAGGAGGAACACCGGUGGCGAAGGCGGUUCUCUGGGAAUGUCCUGACGCUGAGGAGCGAAAGUGUGGGGAGCGAACAGG